rnacentral:rRNA from 1 species
CAGCAGCCGCGGUAAUACGUAGGGUGCAAGCGUUAAUCGGAAUUACUGGGCGUAAAGCGUGCGCAGGCGGUUCGCUAAGACAGAUGUGAAAUCCCCGGGCUUAACCUGGGAACUGCAUUUGUGACUGGCGGGCUAGAGUAUGGCAGAGGGGGGUAGAAUUCCACGUGUAGCAGUGAAAUGCGUAGAGAUGUGGAGGAAUACCGAUGGCGAAGGCAGCCCCCUGGGCCAAUACUGACGCUCAUGCACGAAAGCGUGGGGAGCAAACAGGAUUAGAUACCCCUGUAGUCCCUGUCUCUUAUAC